AUGCGUGGAGAGGGAACUUCCAAGGUGAUAAAGUUUUUUGUUGUACCCCAAACUCAACUCAACAUGAAUUUCUUUCUGAAGACAUAUUUCACUCUUCAGGCAGAAUUAGAUUACCUCAUCUUUGCUCAUGAAGCUAUGAGUUUGAAAUUCAUUAAAGAUAACAUUUAUUACAUUGUACUAAAACUGUUGGUUUAUUUAUAUGAUAUUUCAGUCAUCUAUGAGUUAUUUGA
rnacentral:lncRNA from 1 species